rnacentral:lncRNA from 1 species
GAGAAAUGGUACCAGCUCUUCUUUGUACUUCUGGUAGAAUUCGGCUCUGAAUUUGGUUCCACUCUCCCCAUCACUUUCAGGUACACCAACCAAAUACAUUGUUGUCUUUGGGACCAAUACAUUUCUUCUAUCUGCAUAUCUGGGUAGAAGCUCUCAUGGAAGAAAAAAGAAAAGCCCCAUAGGUGAAGGGGAGUGUGCCUGCCAAGUUCCUUGUAAUAACUUCACACGCAGAGUAUUUUAUGAAAUGAAUCUGCUGGAGUCAUCUCAUGGAAUCUUCUCAUUCUUCUGGAGUCUCCUCAUUUUACAGGAAAAACAUCCAGGCAAGUGGAAAGCAUUUGCAUCAGCCCAGCAAUAAGAAGGACCAUAUUCUACUUGGGAAAAGGUAAAGACGUUUCAUAUGGAUGGAGCCUGCCAGGAAACCUGUCAUUCAACCCUUUGCAAUAAAACAGCUCCUCAUGAAUGAAGCAAAAUAAAUCAGAAGUCGUGGGCUUUUAAAUUCACUAAAUGAAAGCCCAGCAUGCAUGCAGCCUCCCUCCAAAUUAAUCACCAGAUUAAAUGCAAGAUGUGCACACCAAAUCAAUAGCUUGUGACAGAGACCUCCUGCCUGUGCUUCAGGAAAAUUCCAUUUCCUUUCAGAUGUUGUAGCUUGAAAUGUCAGGAAGUUUCCAUUCAUCACCCGCCCUUGAAAAUGCCACCAUCACCAUGCUUCAUGUUUCCUUGCUUUCUUUCUUCAGAGGAAUCCAAGCACCUUGCAGAGGGAGCCCACUCAUUGUCACAG